AUGGCCUGGGCCCCUCUCCUCCUCACCCUCCUGGCUCACUGCACAGGGUCCCUCUCCCAGCAGCCUGUGCUGACUCAGCCGCCCUCCCUCUCUGCAUCUCCGGGAGCCACAGCCAGACUCACCUGCACCCUGAGGAGUGAUAUCAGUGUUGGCAGCUAUACCAUAUACUGGUACCAGCAGAAGCCAGGGAGCCGUCCCCGGUACCUGCUGUACUUCUCCUCAAGUACAAGUUUGGGCUCUGGGGUCCCCAGCCGCUUCUCUGGAUCCAAAGACGCCUCGGCCAAUGCGGGGCUCCUGACCAUCUCGGGGCUGCAGCCUGAGGAUGAGGCCGACUAUUACUGUGUGAUCUGGCACAGUAGUGCUUCCCACAGUGACACACACAGAUCGGGAAGUGGGACAAAAACCUCGGCCUCCCCAGAGCCUUCGUUUAAACUCUGA